rnacentral:rRNA from 1 species
UACGGGGGAUGCAAGCGUUAUCCGGAAUGAUUGGGCGUAAAGGGUCUGUAGGUGGUCGAUAAAGUCCACCGUUCAAUACCAAGGCUUAACCUUGGGGCAGCGGUGGAAACUCAUCGGCUUGAGUACGGUAGGGGCAGAGGGAAUUCCCGGCGUAGCGGUGAAAUGCGUAGAUUUCGGGAAGAACACCAAUGGCGAAGGCACUCUGCUGGGCCGAAACUGACACUGAGGGACGAGAGCUAGGGGAGCAAAUGGG